rnacentral:tRNA from 1 species
UGUAUUUUAGUUUAUAAAGAAUUUUUGUUUUUGGUGCAGAAGGAUUUAAGUACAU